rnacentral:lncRNA from 1 species
UUUUUUUUUUUUUUGUUUUUGUUUUUGUUUUUUUUGACACAGGAUCUAAUGGUUCCCUGGCUGGCUUGAAACUUGUUGUGUAGCUAAGGAUGACUUUGAAGUCACAAUUCUCCUCUUCCACCUGGACUGGUCUGGGUCACAGGUGUAUGUUUCUGUGCUUGGUUUUAUGCAAUGGGAUGGAACGUGGGGCUUUGUGCAUGCUAGGCAAGCAUACUACAAACUGAGCAACAUCCACAGCCCUCACAUCAGAUGCAGUUUAAUUGAAUAGCACUUAGACAAGGUUUAGGUGAUGGGUUGCUUUUGCUGGGUCACAGACCACUUUAUUAACCCUGGCCUGCUGUGGUCCCUUGCAUUGAUUUGAUUUGGCCUGCUUGGUCCCUCGCUGCAUGUCACUGUCAUAAUACCUGAAGCCAAAGCUGCCAUGUCUCAAGGCUGAUCCAGUUCAUUCUCCAUGCAGUAUAGCUAAUUUAGUAGAAGGCAGUUUAAUUCUUAACUUAAUCAUCUUUAGUGCUUAUUGCUUUAUUGUAUUGCCUUGUUCUGUUGAAAUCUUGUUAUACUGUUUCAUAAUUUAGGAUUUAUAGCUUUAUGCAUACUAUUUAGUAAAAUUAGUCUUUUCUAAAAUGUUACUGUGUGAAAGUUGGUACAUAACUGUAUUCAUAUUACUUAACGCUAACACAAGGAAAAAAGUCAUACAUACAGUUCUUUUAGCUGAAAACAGCAUUCAUGUUUUCUAGUGGAAAAGCUUUACUGUCCUUCAGCAAAAAGGAAUAGCUCAGUAAUUAUAAAAGUAGUGUGAAUUGUCAAUAUUUUUAUACAGUGUAUUACCUGUCUGCUCCAUUCACAAAGCCACUGUAAAAAGUGGGUACUGUUGGCUGACUAGGCCAGUGUCAGCAUGAGUGGCCUUCACCCUCAUCUGAAGUCUUCCAUAGUGGAGCCCUUAUUUAUGUCAGUUUUGAGAAUAAAUUUUGACAGGUUGUUGUUACAUCUAUGUAUCAGCAGUGAGAUUUUAGAUUUUUAAAGGUCUUAAGCUUCUACAUCUCCAAGCAUUCUUAGUUGACUAGAAAGCACUAGGCCAAGAGUCAGGCCUGCUCUCUUACCCCUGGCCUGGCCUGAGACCAAUGAGCUCUUACCUGGGUUUCAUUACCUCUAAAAUGAGGAAGUUGACUGAGAUGACUUCUCAUGUUUCUUCUACUCCUAAAUUCUAUGAUUUUUAGGGAGAAAAUUCCCUCAACAUUCCUGGGAUAUAUAUCUAAUAGCCCCAUAUAUUGUGAAACCUCCCUAUUGACGAUAAAGAGGGAUGGGGAAGGCUGCAAGUAAGUAUAUCCUCCUGUUUUCUCUGAUCUUUGCAAAGCUUUACCCAGCAGUGAAACUUCGGUCUUCAGUAAUAGUGUUUGUGAAAUUUGAGAAAAUUUAAUACAGUUUUUCAAGCUAAAGUGGUAGCAAUUUCAAAUCUUCUACAUCUCUGAACACUUGAAAAUCUCAAUUAUCAUUUACUUUGACAUUUUGCUCUAUAAAUUUCCUUUCAUUCAUCACAAAAAUAUAAAUUUCCUUCCCUUUCUGUUGCUAUGAUUAAGCAAAUGUAAUACACACAUAUGAAAGAAUGGGAGUUCACAGUUGCAUCCUGCAAAUGAAUUUUUAAAACUAGUAAUCCAGGUUAACCAAAAUAGGUGGAAUUUUUGUGAAAUUUGUUGUUUUGAAUGAGUUUUCACUGUGGCAUCCCACUUAACUAACCUCCUGAGAAACAACAGUAAAAAUAAAACGAAAUGAGAUUACAGAUGUACAAUUUACUUAUUUCAUUUUUGAAACAAAAAAAGAUUCUCCAGAGAAUUGUUGCCAUCUUAUAUGCUAAAAUACAUGUUUG